AUUGAACGCUGGCGGCAGGCCUAACACAUGCAAGUCGAGCGGAUGAAGGGAGCUUGCUCCUGGAUUCAGCGGCGGACGGGUGAGUAAUGCCUAGGAAUCUGCCUGGUAGUGGGGGAUAACGUCCGGAAACGGGCGCUAAUACCGCAUACGUCCUGAGGGAGAAAGUGGGGGAUCUUCGGACCUCACGCUAUCAGAUGAGCCUAGGUCGGAUUAGCUAGUUGGUGGGGUAAAGGCCUACCAAGGCGACGAUCCGUAACUGGUCUGAGAGGAUGAUCAGUCACACUGGAACUGAGACACGGUCCAGACUCCUACGGGAGGCAGCAGUGGGGAAUGUUGGACAAUGGGCGAAAGCCUGAUCCAGCCAUGCCGCGGGUGUGAAGAAGGUCUUCGGAUUGUAAAGCACUUUAAGUUGGGAGGAAGGGCAGUAAGUUAAUACCUUGCUGUUUUGACGUUACCAACAGAAUAAGCACCGGCUAACUUCGUG
rnacentral:rRNA from 1 species